rnacentral:rRNA from 1 species
GACGAACGCUGGCGGCGUGCUUAACACAUGCAAGUCGAACGGAAAGGCCCUGCUUUUGUGGGGUGCUCGAGUGGCGAACGGGUGAGUAACACGUGAGUAACCUGCCCUUGACUUUGGGAUAACUUCAGGAAACUGGGGCUAAUACCGGAUAGGGGCUCCUGCUGCAUGGUGGGGGUUGGAAAGUUUCGGCGGUUGGGGAUGGACUCGCGGCUUAUCAGCUUGUUGGUGGGGUAGUGGCUUACCAAGGCUUUGACGGGUAGCCGGCCUGAGAGGGUGACCGGCCACAUUGGGACGGAGAGACGGCCCAGACUGCUACGGGAGGCAGCAGUGGGGAAUGGUGCACAAUGGGCGGAAGCCUGAUGCAGCAACGCCGCGUGCGGGAUGACGGCCUUCGGGUUGUAAACCGCUUUCGCCUGGGACGAAGCGUGAGUGACGGUAAUGGGUAAAGAAGCACCGGCUAACUACGUG